rnacentral:rRNA from 1 species
CGUACACUCCUGCGGGAGGCAGCAGUGGGGAAUAUUGGACAAUGGGCGCAAGCCUGAUCCAGCCAUGCCGCGUGAGUGAUGAAGGCCCUAGGGUUGUAAAGCUCUUUCACCGGUGAAGAUAAUGACGGUAACCGGAGAAGAAGCCCCGGCUAACUUCGUGCCAGCAGCCGCGGUAAUACGAAGGGGGCUAGCGUUGUUCGGAUUUACUGGGCGUAAAGCGCACGUAGGCGGACUAUUAAGUCAGGGGUGAAAUCCCGGGGCUCAACCCCGGAACUGCCUUUGAUACUGGUAGUCUUGAGUGCGAGAGAGGUGAGUGGAAUUCCGAGUGUAGAGGUGAAAUUCGUAGAUAUGCGGAGGAACACCAGUGGCGAAGGCGGCUCACUGGCUCGAUACUGACGCUGAGGUGCGAAAGCGGGGGGAGCAAACAGGAUUAGAUACCCCUGUAGUCCCAU